UACGGAGGAUUCAAGCGUUAUCCGGAUUUAUUGGGUUUAAAGGGUGCGCAGGCGGUUGUUUAAGUUAGUCGUUAAAUCGCGAGGCUCAACCUCGCAAUGGCGAUUGAUACUGGACAACUAGAGAUUAUGUGCAGCGGGCGGAAUGAGUAGUGUAGCGGUGAAAUGCUUAGAUAUUACUCAGAACACCAAUUGCGAAGGCAGCUCGCUAACAUAUAUCUGACGCUCAGGCACGAAAGCGUGGGGAUCAAACAGG
rnacentral:rRNA from 1 species